UUACUACUUGGAUAACCGUGGUAAUUCUAGAGCUAAUACAUGCUAAAAACCCCAACUUCGGGAGGGGUGUAUUUAUUAGAUAAAAAACCAAUGCCCUUCGGGGCUCCUUGGUGAUUCAUGAUAACUUCUCAGAUCGCAUAGCCUUGAGCUGGCGACGGUUCAUUCAAAUUUCUGCCCUAUCAACUUUCGAUGGUAAGGUAGUGGCUUACCAUGGUUGCAACGGGUAACGGGGAAUUAGGGUUCGAUUCCGGAGAGGGAGCCUGAGAAACGGCUACCACAUCCAAGGAAGGCAGCAGGCGCGCAAAUUACCCAAUUCCGAUACGGAGAGGUAGUGACAAUAAAUACUGAUACAGGGCUCUUUUGGGUCUUGUAAUUGGAAUGAGUACAAUUUAAACCUCUUAACGAGGAACAAUUGGAGGGCAAGUCUGGUGCCAGCAGCCGCGGUAAUUCCAGCUCCAAUAGCGUAUAUUAAAGUUGUUGCAGUUAAAAAGCUCGUAGUUGAACCUUUGGCCUGGCUGGCAGGUCCGCCUCACCGCGUGCACUUGUCCGGCCGGGCCUUUUCUUCUGGAGAACCGCAUGCCCUUCACUGGGUGUGUUGGGGACCAGGACUUUUACUUUGAAAAAAUUAGAGUGUUCAAAGCAGGCCUUUGCUCGAAUACGUUAGCAUGGAAUAAUAGAAUAGGACGUGCGGUCCUAUUUUGUUGGUUUCUAGGACCGCCGUAAUGAUUAAUAGGGACAGUCGGGGGCAUCAGUAUUCAAUUGUCAGAGGUGAAAUUCUUGGAUUUAUUGAAGACUAACUACUGCGAAAGCAUUUGCCAAGGAUGUUUUCAUUAAUCAGUGAACGAAAGUUAGGGGAUCGAAGACGAUCAGAUACCGUCGUAGUCUUAACCAUAAACUAUGCCGACUAGGGAUCGGGCGG
rnacentral:rRNA from 1 species